CAAAAUCGAUCUGCUGAGGAAGACUGUGAGAUGUGUUGAAAGCCCUGGAAAAAUUCAAGAGUCCUACAGUGAUUCAACAGGGAUCUGACUGAGGCUUCCGAUGCAGCAACCCAGGAGUCACUGUCACACAGCAGGGGCACCAGAUCAGGAAAA